UACGAAGGGGGCGAGCGUUGUUCGGAAUUAUUGGGCGUAAAGAGCUCGUAGGCGGUCUGUUGCGUCUGCUGUGAAAACUCGGGGCUUAACCCCGAGCCUGCAGUGGAUACGGGCAGACUAGAGGUAGGUAGGGGAGAAUGGAAUUCCCGGUGUAGCGGUGAAAUGCGCAGAUAUCGGGAGGAACACCGGUGGCGAAGGCGGUUCUCUGGGCCUUACCUGACGCUGAGGAGCGAAAGCGUGGGGAGCAAACAGG
rnacentral:rRNA from 1 species